rnacentral:rRNA from 1 species
GACGAACGCUGGCGGCGUGCUUAACACAUGCAAGUCGAACGGUAAGGCCCUGCUUUUGUUGGGUGCUCGAGUGGCGAACGGGUGAGUAACACGUGAGUAACCUGCCCUUUACUUUGGGAUAACUUCAGGAAACUGGGGCUAAUACCGGAUAUUAGCUCCUGCUGCAUGGUGGGGUUUGGAAAGGUUCGGCGGUUGGGGAUGGACUCGCGGCUUCUUAGCUUGUUGUUGGGGUAGUGGCUUACCAAGGCUUUGACGGGUAGCCGGCCUGAGAGGGUGACCGGCCACAUUGGGACUGAGAUACGGCCGAGACUCAUAAGGGAGGAAGAAGUGGGGAAUAUUGAAGAAUGGGGGGAAGACGGAGGCAGCAACGCGGAGUGCGGGAUGAUGGCAUUCGGGUUGGAAAACGCUUUCGCCGGUGAAGAAGUGGGAGUGACGGUAAUGGGUAAAGAAGCACCGGCUAACUACGUG